rnacentral:rRNA from 1 species
UGUUGGGUAGGGGAGCGUUCUGUAAGCCUGUGAAGGUGGCCUGUGAGGGUUGCUGGAGGUAUCAGAAGUGCGAAUGCUGACAUAAGUAACGAUAAAGCGGGUGAAAAGCCCGCUCGCCGGAAGACCAAGGGUUCCUGUCCAACGUUAAUCGGGGCAGGGUGAGUCGACCCCUAAGGCGAGGCCGAAAGGCGUAGUCGAUGGGAAACGGGUUAAUAUUCCCGUACUUGGUGUUACUGCGAAGGGGGGACGGAGAAGGCUAUGUUGGCCGGGCGACGGUUGUCCCGGUUUAAGCGUGUAGGUGUGUGUUCCAGGUAAAUCCGGUUCACUUUAACACUGAGGCGUGACGACGAGGCACUACGGUGCUGAAGCAACAAAUGCCCUGCUUCCAGGAAAAGCCUCUAAGCAUCAGGUAACACGAAAUCGUACCCCAAACCGACACAGGUGGUCAGGUAGAGAAUACCAAGGCGCUUGAGAGAACUCGGGUGAAGGAACUAGGCAAAAUGGUGCCGUAACUUCGGGAGAAGGCACGCUGACACGUAGGUGAAGUGAUUUACUCAUGGAGCUGAAGUCAGUCGAAGAUACCAGCUGGCUGCAACUGUUUAUUAAAAACACAGCACUGUGCAAACACGAAAGUGGACGUAUACGGUGUGACGCCUGCCCGGUGCCGGAAGGUUAAUUGAUGGGGUCAGCGCAAGCGAAGCUCCUGAUCGAAGCCCCGGUAAACGGCGGCCGUAACUAUAACGGUCCUAAGGUAGCGAAAUUCCUUGUCGGGUAAGUUCCGACCUGCACGAAUGGCGUAAUGAUGGCCAGGCUGUCUCCACCCGAGACUCAGUGAAAUUGAACUCGCUGUGAAGAUGCAGUGUACCCGCGGCAAGACGGAAAGACCCCGUGAACCUUUACUAUAGCUUGACACUGAACAUUGAGCCUUGAUGUGUAGGAUAGGUGGGAGGCUUUGAAGUGUGGACGCCAGUCUGCAUGGAGCCGACCUUGAAAUACCACCCUUUAAUGUUUGAUGUUCUAACGUGGACCCGUUA